rnacentral:rRNA from 1 species
UACGUAGGGGGCAAGCGUUGUCCGGAUUUAUUGGGCGUAAAGAGCGUGUAGGCGGCCAGGUAGGUCAGCUGUGAAAACUCGAGGCUCAAGCUCGAGACGUCGGUUGAAACCAUCUGGCUAGAGUCCGGAAGAGGAGAGUGGAAUUCCUGGUGUAGCGGUGAAAUGCGCAGAUAUCAGGAAGAACACCCGUGGCGAAGGCGGCUCUCUGGGACGGUACUGACGCUGAGACGCGAAAGCGUGGGGAGCGAACAGG